AGGGAAAAGAAGACACAGAUGGGCAAGCGCUUUUGUUUUUGGAAAUGUCUCUAAGCAGAAAAUAUAAACAGAAUACACAGAGGGUUCACAGGCCUGCAUAGUAAGGAAGUACGAUUUAGGAAGCGAAGCACUCUGCUGCCUCAGUGAGGAAUGGAAGCUUCCCAUAAUCCUUCGCUCAUAUACCCCUCCCCCAAGUACCCCCUCCUCCUCCCCAGCGUGAAGAGCGUGGUAGUCUCAUGCACUGUGUGUUAUCUGCAGUUAGGAGUCCAGAAAGACAAGCCUAAGUGGAUGAUGAGCCCCACGUUAAUGGAGCAAAUGUUCUAAAGUUACUUGUGUACAUCCCCAGGGUCAAAUUCAAUCCUCAGAAAUCCACGUGCAGUUUCCAUGGAAACACGUAUAAACACCAUGCAAGGGGAGAAUAGCUGCAGUCAGUCUUGUCCUCUGUAUUGACACAUGGCCUUUAUUCCUUUCUGGCUUUAUCUUUCGAAUGGCAAGUUUUGGCUUGGCUCUAUGUAUACAGUAGAGUUUCAUCCACUCACACAUGCCUUUAAGAGACACAGAGUCAAAGUGUUCAUUGUGACGAUCAGUAAAGAUGUCGAAAAAACUUCUGGCAAGAAGCAGCAAAGGAAAGAAGGUUGUGAGACACAUUUAACCUAUUGAGUAAUGAAAAGGAAACAGACUUAAAAAUAGAAUAUGAUAUAAACUCAAAAGCUCCAAGGAAAGUAAGUGGUUAAUAGGGAAGAAGUACUCAAUUAGUAAAGAAUAAAAUGUGUGUGUGUGUGUGUGUGUGUGUGUGUGUGUGUGUAAAGUCUAUGAGGUACACUGUGGACAAUGACCACAUACAGUCAAGAACAUGUGCAUGGAACAUUAACAGAGGAGUAGAAAUAAGUAAUACAGCAUUUGCUAGUUAGCAAGUUCAGUUUUUCAUUUCUCUGCAAGGGUACUUUUAUUUCCUUAAAACAAUAAAAGAGAAAAAUUACUUCUCAUUUUAUAAUAACUUUUAAUAAGUCAAUUUCUGUAAGUCUUAAUUAGCAUUCAACCCUAUUAUGUCAUAUGCUUUCCCCAGAUUAAAACAAGAUUAGAAAAUAUAAUUAUGCAAUGAGUCAAAAAUUUAGCUGCAAAGUUGUUACUGACAGUGUUAUAAAGACUCUAGAAAAAAAAUGAGAGUCAUGCCUAAGGAAUAAAAACUAAAAUUAAAAGUUGGCUCUGUUAGUCACUCAGUACAUAUGUGAAACUGACUGAAAAUCAGCCAUAUACAAUUAUACAUUCAAAGUUUACUUCAGUGUGCAUUUCUGAAUGCACUUCAUUUGUUUUCGUCAUGCACUCUGUCUUAUUUUGUGCCACUUGGGAAUCCUGGUGAAAAAUUUCAGUUAUUGUGACUCCGUCAACGAUAGAGAAAUGAGAAAUGUUCUAGGUCACUCUAACAAGACUAUAUGAUAAUCUUAGAGAUGCAGAUUUUUAAAAUAAUUUUAUAUUGGUCUUUUUGUAAUGGGGAUUAGAAAUCACCAUAUAGUUUUAAGUGCUGCCGAGAAGUAUAUGGCUUUAGCACAAUUAUAACCUUGUUCCUGAGAUCAUAAGGGUCCUAAACAUAGUGAUCCAUACAGUCGGGUCAGUCUGUAGACCAACCUAAAAUGAGUAGAACGUUGUCCAGGGCGCAGUCUUCUUACACUACUUGAUUCAACUUCAAAACCAGCACCCUGAGGUAAGAGCACUGUAUGCCUGUGCAUGACAAAUCUGAGAGCUUCACAGAUUCUAACAAAGUUCUAUGUAUCCUACAGAAAGUGUAAAGUAAAAUUGUGAUCACUUGUACUUGAAUAUUUUUGUUUGGUUUUAAAGAAAGGGUGGAUUUGUAACAAGUUCGGUAAAACCUCUAAGUUUCCUAAUCACAGAAGCUCCAAGCUAAGGACAUUUAUUGCUGAAACUGGGACCAGUAUGGAUCUGAGAUGGACGGUGGAACUCUGUGUCAAAUCCUUGUGUCUUUCACUAAGUCCUACUAAGGACUAUUAGUCCUUGUUGCCAGGAUGACUUGCAGAAGGUGACAGUUUGUUCAGCUGACUGUCACCAACCCAAAGCAGGAACUGGGGAUCAAGCCUUCAGAGGGGAACUGAAAACUACAUCAGUACCUUGAGCUGUGUCUGAAAGCAAGAGGUGGUUCACACAGAUGAGCUGGGGACAGGGGAGGUUCGAACUCAGCUGAAGCUACUUGCACUCUAAAUGUUCACACUGUGGUAGUCGUAGGGAGUGUUGUAAAUAUGACAUCUGCACGAGAGAGAAGGUGCAGUCCUCAUGAAGAGACAGCAACAUAGGCUUCUGAGUCAGCCAAGAAUCAACAAACUGACUUCAUGGGAACAAAAGAAAACCCCAGGUACUCCUAAUUGCCGCCUAAUUAGUAAUUCCUUCCUGUCAAGGCAGUCGAUUUGUUAAAAUGUUAUCACUACUGUGGCCUGAGGCAGAAAAGAUUCAAGAAUAUGUUUCACCUACUAAAGAAUGUACUACUUGUUCUACUUUGUAAAUAAAAAUUAGUAUAUAAUUUUCCUCUUUUCUUUUUCAGGACCAAAUCUAGAGUUAAACAGCAUCACCACUGUAAUACAGUUUAAUCUACCAAAUAAUCUGCAGGAUUCCAUGUACAAUCCAGACCUUCUGUCAGGCUCCAAGGACAGCAGCAUUGGAGCGAUGAAGUCCUGACCUGUGGAUAGAUCGCUAUUCCCUUGCCAUGAAGAGACACUCUGCUUUAGGGACUCACCUAGUACAAAAGGCCUCGGAAAGACACAAUGCGGCUGUUGCAAGAUCCUAACAUAUUUAGAUUCUCCUCACUGGUUUGCAUGUAGACACACAGCAACCUACCCACAGCCAUGGGGACAUUUAAUUCCUGAGAUGCAACUGAAGUACCUGAACCCUGAAUGCUCACGUGGCUGAAAGAAAGUGGAUUUCCCCAAGGAAUGUCCCAUCCCUGGAGAUGGCUGCCAUCAAAAGCAUCAUGUUCUGAGAAGGUAUAGGAAAGAGAUUAAGCUCCUAAGACAGGUGACGGUGUAGAGGAAGGAGUGGGGACAGGGGUGGAGGAAAGGUAAAAUGUCAGCCUUCUGAGAUUGAGACCCACAAACAUGAGAGGAGGAAAUGAGAGUCUCAAGUUUAAGCCCAUGGCUUGUAUCUAGUGGCCCUGAGCAAUGGAGGCUUUAAGGAGAAAGACAGGACACUCUGUUCAGCAUGGUGGUGUUUUUCACGUGUCAGACAUGCAUAACCAAGCCCAUGCCAAAAUAUAUUCAGUAGUGUCCUUAUCAUGCUGAAGGGAGCAGUUAAAAAAAUAAAGAAAGAAGGGAAGAAAGAAAAGAAAAGAAGAGAAGAGAAAAGAAAGGGAAAUGGUCACAUUGUAAGGUGUGGUAAAUACUUUGGAAGAUGUCACAGAGAAAUUUGAUUUCCCCAAUUUCCACUUAUUUUCUAAGCAUGACAACCAACUAUUUAGCUAAAAAAUUAUAGUUUACUUGCUUUUAAAAGCGUGUCUUUAAAAAUAAUACCACUAAAUAUCUGGACCCGAAUCACCUGAGUUUAAAUGCUGCAAACUAAGAGUAAUUGCAAAAGUUACAUAAUGUUUUGACUUUGAUUGACUCGAAAAUCGAAUGGAAAGAAUUACAGUUCCUCACCAAGAAGGAUGUCGCUAUGACAACAUGAAUUGGUGUAUACAAAGCACCUAGCAAGGUGCCUGGUACCUGGCAAGCUAGUAAUACUGUUUUAGUAUCUUGAAAUUAGUAUUUAUAAAACAUUAUGAUUUAUCAUAAAAGCAUAUGAAUUAUUAUAACUCUUGUAACUGUAUAAUCAACUAAGUGAAGUGCUGCUUAGCUGCUACCAUAUACUAUAUGUUGUCUGAUAUUCCUAUAUACAGUGUCUUGUCUGAUAUUCAAGAUCCUAAUGAUUAGCAAACCGAAUGUUAAUAUACCAUGCUACAUGAACAUUUGCUGAUUGAAUUUCUAUGGGAAACUUCUUUGUUUUGAUCUAUUUAUUUACAGUUUUUGAAUCUCUGUUGAAAAUUCAUAACUCCCCAUGUUCUUGAAAAUAUGUAUUAUAAUUUAAAAAAAAAGUAUUAGUUACACAUAGGAUUAUGUGAUCUGGUCAUUCCACUCACAGUUACAGUCCCCAAAGAACUGAAAGAGGUCUUGGCAGAUUUCUAUACCAAUGAUGUAACAUUUAUAAUAGCUCAGAGGUGGAAACACACAAAUGUACAUUGUAUAUACAUUGACACUGGGUAUGAACGGGUAGAAAAAAGUGCAGCAUCAACUUAUGACAAGACUUAAAAAGGAGUGAAAUUCUGACCCAUGCUACAAGAUAGACAAACACUGAAGCGCUUAUGCUAAGAGACCAUGAAAGGACAAACACUUUA
rnacentral:sRNA from 1 species